GCAAGCGUUGUUCGGAUUUACUGGGCGUAAAGGGCGCGUAGGCGGUCAGCACAAGUCAGUUGUGAAAUCUCCGGGCUUAACUCGGAAAGGUCAACUGAUACUGUGCGACUAGAGUGCGGAAGGGGCAACUGGAAUUCUCGGUGUAGCGGUGAAAUGCGUAGAUAUCGAGAGGAACACCUGCGGCGAAGGCGGGUUGCUGGGCCGACACUGACGCUGAUGCGCGAAAGCCAGGGGAGCGAACGGG
rnacentral:rRNA from 1 species